UCCGUAGGUGAACCUGCGGAAGGAUCAUUACCGAAAUUGUCUUAUGACAAACCACUGUGAACUGUACACAUUCAGUGUGGGGUAGCCUUGAGCUUUAAAUCGAUCAUAGAUCAGCCCCACACACAUUGAAAACCUUAUUUAAACUACUUUCCUUUAAAACUUUGCAGGCUUUUAGUCUCAAAGUAGUGCCAAACGUGACAACUUCUAACGGUGGAUCUCUUGGCUCGUGUAUCGAUGAAGAACGUAGCCAGUUGCGAUAAGUAGUGUGAAUUGCAGAAUGAAGUGAAUCAUCGAAUCUUUGAACGCAAAUUGCACUCUCUGGAUAUCCGGGGAGUAUGCCUGUCUGAGUGUCGUGUCAAACCUAAACACACUUGUGUGUUGCUUGAGAGCUCUUUGUACUCGGUGCAAAGUCUCUUGAUGUACGUAGUGGGUUGUUCGCGCUAGUGAACAGAAGGCUCAACUUGCUUCUGUCUUUCUGACACUAGUGUAGAACACAGUUUGUUAGUUUGCAUAAUAGCAAACAUACUUACAUCUUUGACCUCAGAUCAGACAAGAUUACCCGCUGAAUUUAAGCAUAUCAAUA
rnacentral:rRNA from 1 species